CAUCCUAGUUUUAUGCCUUUUCUCUGACCACUUUCAGCUCUGCGGGUAUGGAGCAGGCAGAAAGUUGGAUUUAACCAGGACUGAGUUUUCUGCCAGGUUUGCAUCUUCCUUCUACCUCUGUACUCCAAGUUCCUGGCUGGCACUGGAAUUACAUCCUUAGCAUGCACAUCAUAACCUCCAGGUGAG